rnacentral:rRNA from 1 species
AUGGCCAUCUUCGAUGAAUUCUUUGUUGGUUCUAUUGACCUGGGUCGCCUCAACUACGGUAUCAUCUCUCUCAUCCCCAAGGUCCCUGGGGCGUCCGACAUCCGCCAGUUCCACCCGAUCACGGUCAUUAAUGUGAUCUUCCGGAUCUUGGCCAAAGGGUACGCCAAUAGGGUGACCCUGCUUGCGGACCGGGUAACCCACCCUAACCAGUCGGCCUUCAUUAAGGGCCGAUACAUCCUGGAUGGAGUCCUGGUCCUUCAUGAAGUCCUCCAUGAGGUCCGGGUCAAACGCCUUAAGGCGGUUUUUCUGAAGAUCGAUUUCCACAAAGCUUACGACUCUGUUAGGUGGACCUUCCUCGGGGAAGUCCUU